CUGUUUUCAUAUAAUUCGGCCAUUAAUGCCCAAUCCCCGCUCAGCGGCUCAUUCUCGCUUCGUUUCUGCGUUAAAUAUUCCUUUACGUCUUUCAUUUCUGUUGUAUAUUGCUUUUCAAAUCCUUUGUUUUCUUUUAAAAGCGACUUUUGAAACAAUUUCUAAACCUUUUUUGUGCAAUGUGCUGUGAACUUUUUCAAGAUGGCGCCCGAUACGAGCCUGCUUUCCUACAAUCCAGCAGCCAUUAAUGCCCGUUCGCAGGCUAGAGCCAUCCAGUGAGCUCGAUAUGCAACUGGAGU